GAUUCGUGAUACUGAUUGUUUUUGUUUUGUUCUUUGACUAUCGAAGGUUGAGAGCAAUGCCCGCCUGCUGUGCGUGGGGUUGUUCCAACAGACAUGAGAAAGGGCAUACCAUGUACAGGUUUCCGCUCGAUCCUGCCAGAAGAAAAGUGUGGACAAAUCGAGUCAUCCGAAAGAAUUGGACUCCUACACUUUAUUCUUACUUGUGUGACGCUCAUUUUGAUAGCUCUUAAUUUGAGCAACACAGGAAAGAUGGAAAGAAGAAACUGAAAUGGAAUGCAGUACCAACAAUAUUUCCCCACCGGAAAAUUGGCUCCAAGAAUAGCAGAAAGUCUUGAAACAGCACAAAGGAAGAAGACUCUCUGAAUGCUGGUGUCCAAGUAACAACAGAUGUGCAAGAUCACAGCUAUGCUGCUGAUGCUAUGCAAAAAGACCAUCUGUCACCUGAUGAGGCUAAUGGUUUGUAUCGAGAUAUGUCAUCUUGUUUGAAAUGAUCAUGAAUGCAUGUUAGUUUGUGCAUGCUCGUUCUCAUCACAUAUUUCAUUGGCAUGCUGUACUUCUGCUAACAUAAUGGAUUUUUUUUAUUUGGUCUGUGGUUGCACUCUUCAAGUCUUUGAAGAUUAGUGGAAGAGAAAACUGGAAGUCUGUGCAAGUAGGUGUCAUAAUGGCAACAACUUCUGUGCUGGACAUACAAGAGGAGUUGCUUGGUAGUGGACAUAAGUUUCUGCUGACUUCACACCUCACUCAAGAUUGUCUUGAGAACCUUUUUAGAGUAGUAAGGCUAAACAAUCCUGUACCAUCACCUGUGGCUUUCAAAUGUGCACUAAAAAUCAUCAGCAUUGCUCAGUUUAUGAAACCUCUAGGUGGGAAUCGUGGAAGCUAUCAAGAUGAUGACUGUGGGUUAUUGUGUCCUUAGUAUUAAGAAAUAUGAGGUAGUGUGUGAUGCUUGCCUUGAGUAUGUCUUAAAUUCAGCUCCAGAUCAUAGCAGUUUUGCAACACUAACUAGUUUGAGAGAAUUCAAGAAGGGCAGUCUUGAGCAUGUUACAGGUUGCACAUUUGAUAUGAUGUUGAAAGUAGAGCAAAUGUUUUGAAGUAUAGCAGAAGAUACUUUGAUGGCUACCAGAAAUGUGAAAGAGGUUUUGAUACAGAUGGCUGAAGAACUCACUGAUGACUGUGUCUAUCCCACAUGUCAUAAUAUUAAGAGGAAAAUGAUAGCUAGAUAUU